AUCGGUUUUUUUAUUAGGUACCAAUUGAAACUGUUGCUAUUUCAAAUUUAUAACCAUUUGAGUCUAGUAUGGUCGGUGUCGGCACAAGAACCACCUUUUAAACAAAUAAUAAUAAUAAUAAUAAUAAUAAUAAUAAAGAAAGAAGAAAAAUGCGAGAGAAAGGGAGAAAGAAGAGAAGUCGACCGGGAAAAGGCCGUUGGAUCCAGGGUUUCCAUGGAGAGGACUUUAUGGAUCUGUGGUUUGGAUGUGGGUUUCUUUUUUUUUCUUUUUUCUGGAUGCCGCUGGUGUUGAUGGAGGUGCUGGAGUCCAGUAAAUAUUUCGGCGCUAGAGCAUGAUGUCUCCUUAAAACUGAUCCAUGACUAUUAUAGACUGCAACUGUCAUGAGCCAACACUCUUCUUCAUUUCAUGCCAUGGACAAUUCUGGAUUGCCCGGAUCAGAGUGGGAAGCCUAUGGUUUGUAUGGAUGCUGGGUCAAUGAGCGAUAUUGAAGUGUUGUUAUGUUGUAGUGUCAAUUUUGAAUGAUUGUUUGAACAGUUUUUGCGGCUGUGCCUGUUUCUAUUUGUUUUCCCAGCGUGUUUGCUCUGCUUGUUUUCUUCUUCUAUUAAUGCAAGCUUGGUUGGGCGGUUUUGACUUUGUGCAUGAUUCUCAAGGCAAGCGACAGCACAGUGAGUCUGGCAUCUGUGGCAGUGAGUACCUGCAUGUUUGCAACGUGUCCAAUCUGAAUGUUGGGUUGUGGACUUUGUGGGUUCCUAUGCUUUGUUAGGCUUUUAUUAUGUUCAAGUUUGUUGCUUGUAGCUCUGUUGCAGCUCUGUUGUCCGACGGGUUUUCUAAUGCAAUAAAAAAAUAAGAAGUCAGCAGGAGAACAUUAAUCUGUUGACGAGGUUGCUCUUC